AGAACUAACCAGGAUUCCCCUAGUAACGGCGAGUGAACAGGGAUUAGCCCAGCACUGAAGCCUGCGUCCUUUUGGGCGUUGGGCAAUGUGGUGUUUAGGUUAGCGCUUUUGAGUGCUUCUCCGUUCCAAGUCCAAUAUUGAAUAUGGCCCUUGAUUUGGCCCAGAGAGGGUGAAAGGCCCGUGUGGACGGAGUGGUACUUGACCGCGUUGACUAUGGAGUCGGGUUGUUUGAGAAUGCAGCCCAAAGUUGGUGGUAAACUCCAUCUAAGGCUAAAUACUGGCACGAGUCCGAUAGCGAACAAGUACCGUGAGGGAAAGUUGAAAAGUACUCUGAAGAGAGAGUUAACAGUGCGUGAAACCGCUUAGAGGCAAACGGGUGUAGUCAAGCUGCAAGCCUUGCGAAAUAGGUGGGCCAGAAUGGCGUGAGUCUGAGCACAUAUGAGCUGGCGUUUGGGUCUGUCCAAUGGGCGGGUUCGGCUCGCAAGAGUCGGAUUUGCGAAGCGGCAUUCGCCGUUGCAAACCUGAACUGUCAGUUGCUCUGCUGACCCACUAAUUUUUGCUUGGCGUAUGUCACGACCGUCGUCGCUGUCGGUCUGCUCCGUUCAAACCGUUUCGUGGGUAGUCUUGUGCUUCUCGCGUUGCGGGGGCAGGUAGCUGGCCCGGCGCAAGCUGAGCUGGUGUAAUUUGCUGAGUGGAGUGGUACCUGUAACUGUGCAGUGCGGCGGGGCUGGCGGUGCUGGGCGUGCUAAAGUGUAUCGGCGUGACGUGAGUCUGGCUGCUUGUUGCUGUCUCCUGACAGCCUGGUAGUGGCUCUGUCGCGGUUUGGUAUGCGGCUGCGUCUGGUAUAUUGUGCCAACAGUCUGUGGCGUAGUGGUAGACGAUCCACCCGACCCGUCUUGAAACACGGACCAAGGAGUUUAACAUGUGCGCGAGUCAAUGGGCAGUGCUUAACGCAUACGAAACCCAAGGGCGCAGUGAAAGUAAAGGUUGGCUUCUAGCCUAUCUGAGGUGAGAUCCUGCUGUUUCUCUUGCAUAUAUUUGAUCAUACUAUAGAGCAGUGGGCGCAUCACCGGCCCGUCCCAUGGUGUAGUAUGGCUUCGGCUGUGCAGCAUCGGGGCGGAGCAUGAGCGUACAUGUUGAGACCCGAAAGAUGGUGAACUAUGCUUGCGCAGGUUGAAGCCGGAGGAAACUCUGGUGGAGGACCGUAGCGAUUCUGACGUGCAAAUCGAUCGUAUGAUGUGAGUAUAGGGGCGAAAGACUAAUCGAACCAUC
rnacentral:rRNA from 1 species